rnacentral:rRNA from 1 species
GUAUAGGAGGUCCAGCCUGCCCAGUGACUACGGGUUUAACGGCCGCGGUAUAUUGACCGUGCAAAGGUAGCGCAAUCACUUGUCUUUUAAAUAGAGACCUGUAUGAAUGGCUAGACGAGGGCUUAACUGUCUCCCCCCUCCAGUCAGUGAAAUUGAUCUAUCCGUGCAGAAGCGGGUAUAACACUACAAGACGAGAAGACCCUUUGGAGCUUAAGGUACAAAAUCCAGCCACGUUAAACAACUUCAUAAAAAGCAGGAACUUACUGGCCAUGGAAUUUUACCUUCGGUUGGGGCGACCACGGAGGAAAAGCAAGCCUCCGAGUGGACUGGGACAAACCCCUAAAGCUAAAAAAGACAUUUUUAAGCCGCAGAACAUCUGACCAAUAAUGAUCCGGCUAAUGAGGCCGAUCAACGAACCAAGUUACCCUAGGGAUAACAGCGCAAUCCUCUCCCAGAGCCCAUAUCGACGAGGGGGUUUACGACCUCGAUGUUGGAUCAGGACAUCCUGAUGGUGCAGCCGCUAUUAAGGGUUCGUUUG